CGCCCAUGUUUAAUGGCUUGUACCACUGCAUAUAACUCAAUAUCAUAAGUGUUAUAUCGGCCUCUCGGACCUGUAAUGUUCACUACAAGGGGAGGGGGUAAAGAUAGCAUAAGAAGAUAGUGUUCUGGUCGAGAAUGUUAUCUUUGACAUAACUCGUAAUUUAAGGUAGCGUUUUUUAUUCUCAAUGCUAUAAAAAACCGCAUAUAUAAUAGUAUUGCAAUUUCAAAAACGCUAUCUUUACCAAGGCAAAAAAUUAUUGCUUUUUUUUAACCCUCAUUUCAUUUUCCCUCUCACUUUAUUUAAUUUGCCUCCAAAAAUCCCCAACGCUAAAAUCAUAAACAUUACAUUUAUUCUUUAAAUAUUUACAUAUAUAAAAAAGAAAAUUUUCUAUUGGUUGAAAGUAACACACAAGGAUUACAAUCUCUACCCUUAAUUGUUUUUAAUCCAAGGCUGGAGAUUGUGUUUUGUCCUCUCCUUUUGUCUUCUGAAACACGACAGAGAGAAGAGAGAAGAGAGAAGAUAGAUGAGAGAUUGCAGGAGGAGGAAGAAGGGACCGGCCUGAGUUCGUCGCCAUCGUCACCAGUCUGAGUUCGUCGCCAUCGUCAGGAGUCUGAUUUCGUCGCCAUCGUCACCUGUCUUUACUCAUCGUAACUUUGUUCUUCCGGAAUCUGUACUCCUCCUGAGAACGCCUCUCUCCCCUCUGCAGAGCCGAAUCCGAACCCAACCACCUGAGCUCAUGGUUCAAUCUCCUCCUCAACGCCCUCGCUACUCAAUCUCCUCUCGUGUUUGCUCCUCCGGUUCUCUCUCUCUCUCUCUCUCUCUCUCUCUCCAGAUUCACUUUCCCAAAACAACAGAUCUGAGCUCGAACCUUUUUGUUGUUUACCGAUUCUCCUCCGGUCAAUUAGAAUGAAUCUUCGGAUGCUUUGACUGAUCCAUCCGGUCAAACGGUCUCUAUCUCUAUUUCCUUGUGCAGAGAAGGAGAAAAUCGUUUCUUCUUCUUCUUCAACUUAUCUGAAACAAGACAUGUUUCUUCUUCUCAAUCCUCGGGGCGAAGAUGAUUUCACCAAAACCCAUCUCCAGCAAGUGCUCAAGUUGUAUAGUAAAGAGCUACCAGACAAGAACUACCACUACAAGAAAACAUGCAUUUCCCGACUGCAAAAUCAGUAGCUAAUCAGUCGCAAAAUGUACGGUUACGACUGAUUUGCGACUGAUACAUGUAGUCACAAAUCAACGUGUCGCAAAAACUAUCAGUCGUAAAUCAGUCGCAAUUUUACGACUGAUUUGAGACUAAUUUGCGAUUAAUGUUAUUGGUCAUAAAUCCGUCGCAGUUCAGACGCCAAAUUUUACGACUGAAUUACGACUUCUUUUGCGAGAACGGAUUGUAGUCGUUAUUUGGUCGCAAUAUUUAGUGACUAAUUUACUACUACAGUUUUAGAAUCACCGUUGCUAAUUAGUCGCAAAACGAAAAAUUAAAAACAAAAAAAAAAUUAAAAUUAAAAUUAAUAAAUUUAUUAAAAUUUAAAAUGAUUUAUAUAUAUUAAACUGGUUUAAAUUAAAACUGAGACAGAUACAUAAUUACAUAAAUACAAAAAGAAAAACUAAAUCAAAGACCAAAACUAUUUGGUCAAGAAAA